rnacentral:rRNA from 1 species
ACGAACGCUGGCGGCGUGCUUAACCCAUGCAAGUCGAACGGAAAGGCCUCUUUCGGGGGGUACUCGAGUGGCGAACGGGUGAGUAACACGUGGGUAACCUGCCCUUGACUUUGGGAUAACUUCAGGAAACUGGGGCUAAUACCGGAUAGGAGCUCCUGCUGCAUGGUGGGGGGUGGGAAGUUUCGGCGGUUGGGGAUGGACUCGCGGCUUAUCAGCUUGUUGGUGGGGUAGUGGCUUACCAAGGCUUUGACGGGUAGCCGGCCUGAGAGGGUGACCGGCCACAUUGGGACUGAGAUACGGCCCAGACUCCUACGGGAGGCAGCAGUGGGGAAUAUUGCACAAUGGGUGGAAGCCUGAUGCAGCAACGCCGUGUGCGGGAUGACGGCCUUCGGGUUGUAAACCGCUUUCGCUCAUGACGAAGCUUUGUGUGACGGUAGUGGGUAAAGAAGCACCGGCUAACUACGUG